UACGUAGGUGGCAAGCGUUGUCCGGAUUUACUGGGCGUAAAGGGCGUGCAGGCGGUUUGUUUAGUCUAGGGUGAAAGCUCCCGGCUUAACUGGGAGAGGUCCUUGGAUACUGGCAAACUUGAGGGAGGCAGAGGAAAGUGGAAUUCCCGGUGUAGUGGUGAUAUGCGUAGAUAUCGGGAGGAACACCAGUGGCGAAGGCGACUACCUGGCCUGUUCUUGACGCUGAGGCGCGAAAGCUAGGGGAGCAAACGGG
rnacentral:rRNA from 1 species